CAAUAGCGUAUAUUUAAGUUGUUGCAGUUAAAAAGCUCGGAGUUGGAUUUCGGGUGGGACGCAGCGGUCUCGCAUUGCGUUUGUACUGCUGCAGCCCUCCUUCUUGCCGGGGGCGGCCUCUCGGACUUCACUGUCUGGGGGUCAGAAUCGGCGAUGUUACUUUGAGUAAAUUAGAGUGUUCAAAGCAAGCUUACGCUCUGAAUAUAAUAGCAUGGGAUAACACGACAGGACUCUGGCCUAUCGUGUUGGUCUAUAGGACCAGAGUAAUGAUUAAGAGGGACAGUCGGGGGCAUUCGUAUUCCGUUGUCAGAGGUGAAAUUCUUGGAUUUACGGAAGACGAACAUCUGCGAAAGCAUUUGCCAAGGAUGUUUUCAUUGA
rnacentral:rRNA from 1 species